UCCACCUGCCUCUGCCUCCCAGAGUGCUGGGAUUACAGGCAUGAGCCACCAUGCCUGGCUUUUUUCUUGGGUCUUAAGUUCAUGUUCUCUCUUAUCUGGGAAAAAUUCUUUAGGGAGAAU
rnacentral:miRNA from 1 species